CUCCCAUGGGGACGCCCUGAGGCUGCGUGGCCGGGCACGCACCUGGGGCAGCUUCCUAGCCUGCCUCGGGUGACAGCUCAUCAUGAGCUGCGCGGCUGGGAAGCAGCGCCCCCUGCCGGCCACCCCUCAGCGCUCGGCCAGGAGCUCCAGCGGCAGGGACUGACAGUCAGCGGGGGAACCGCCUGAGGAUCACGCAGCAGAGAUAUCUCCCUGGGAGAGAAAAGAGCGCUGGCCAUGCCCUGCCUCCUGACCGGCGACACCUCGGUUCUGUACUGCUUUCUGAGAAAGGAUGAUCAGGGCAGGGGCCAGCAGCUCACAGGACUCGUCUCCCAGGUGGUGGCUCCCAGGUCUCCCUCUGGAGGCUGGCCACCUACAGACGGCCGUGCAACAGCUGGUUCAAAGGUCAAAGGAGCU